rnacentral:lncRNA from 1 species
AAAAGUCGUUGGCUUUUAUCAUACAUCCGAAUUUGUAAGCCUCAAUUUGUUGUUGCACAGCAAUCUAACAGCAUUCUCUGUUUUUCUGUGUUGCUUUUGGUGUGAGAAAGAAAGAAACACACGAGAAAAUGGAUGCACCGCCAGGGUAUCAAGAAAUGUCGAGUGUUGAGCAUAUUAAAAGGCGCCAUGAGGAGAAAGGCUGCCUCUAUGCUUGGUUAGUAUGAACUCAGUCAGUUACCCUUUUACUCAUCCUUUUUCGAUUGAAUUUAUAUAUAUAUAUAUAUAUAAUUGUUUUCCCCCUUGCUUUUGUGAUUGUUUUGACGCAGUUUGUUUACCCUGUGUUGCUGUUUCUGCUGCUAUGAGACUUGUGAAUGUUGUUUAGACAUACUUUGCUGUUCCUGCUCUUGAUAACAUGGAGAGGGGAGAGGAGAGAAAUAUUUCUCAUGAAUAAAUUAUGUAAUUGGUUUUUUAGGGAAGACAUAAACUUCUUCAAAUAAUUCCGUUUUCCCGGUGAAAAUGGAUGAAAUCCUCAAUUCCGUUUUAGAUUUGAGCUUAUAUAUGCAUCUGUAAUAUGUAAUAUGUAAUAUGUAUAUGAAUAUGAAGAUAUGGUGUGGGUACCUUUACUGAAGGAAUAAAUAUAUAGUGAUCAGUACAAUAUUUUGAUAUCUAAU